CUUUGGAAAGCAAAAGCACUUCAUUAAGUAAAAACAAACGCAUACCUCGAAUCCUAACCAAAAGCUUCUUCAUCGCGCCUCCAACCCUAACCCCAGAGCUUCAUCGUGCUUCCGUCGAGCUUGGCUACCGUCUUCUUCAUCUUCCUCAUCUCUUCCUCAUGACCCAGACCUAGAAAGCUCUAAGCCUCCAUCUCUUCUCUCUUCUUCAAGUUGUGUUGUCACUGCCAUCCUAGUGUCGUCAUUCUAUCACCGCCUUCGAACCCUAAGCACAAUCUCGGGAUCUUCUCAUCCUCUACUCUCUCACACUUCCUUUGAUUACACAACACACCAGCCUAGAUCUAUUCCUAUGUUCUCAAAUUUUAGAUCCGAGUGGACUCGAUUCGUUGAUGUGGAAACGAAGGCAGCGACAGCAGGUAAGAGAGGUGGCAAGGUGGAUACUUCAUUGAAGGCAUUGACAUCAGCUUCAACCUCAUAGAAGGCACCCGACCAACUCGCCAAUGGUGUCGGAGAUAUUGAAAUAUCGGAUUGAACCUUUACCGGUGUCCUCUGCUCACAUCCCUUUUCCAGGGAUGUUAGGGUCAGUAACACUUCGGAUGAUGUUGAAUUCAAUUGAAUUGUGAAACAUGAAGCAUUCAUUCUUGGAACUUCCAAGGGCAAGCACACCAACAAAGGAUUUGAUCUUUUCAAUUCCACUGCACCAAUACCAGAUCUAAAUGAGAAGCUUAUUGUGGUUGGGCGAGUCAUCAAGGGAGAGGAUGUUGUUCAAGUAACUGAAUUUGCGUCUCAUUGUUAUGGACGGUGAACAUUGUGGAUUUCACCUGGGGCUUCAUCAAUCAAGCGUUUUAAGCCUUGAUGUUGUUUUUUGCCAUUGCAUGUGUAGUUGUCAACAAAGGGAUUAUGCAAUAGCCGCUUACAACCGAGUCCGCAGUGAAGAAGAUUGAAGACAACAACACUUUGGUUUUCAUUGUAGACAUGCAUGCUAAUAAGAAGAAGAUCAAGGAUGCAGUGAAGAAAAUGCAUGACAUCUAAGCCAAGAAAGUGAACAUUUUGAUCAGCCUGAUGGAACACCCCAUUGUGAUUCCUUGGAUGUAGCAAACAAGAUUGGAAUCAUCCAAGGUGUUUCCUAGCUUUACCCAGGUCACUUUUAUUUAGAUAUUAGUCUGUCUUAUGGUGGUAUUUUGUAGCUUUUUAUUUGGUGUAUUUUGUUUCAGUUUGAAUUAAUCUUAGACCGUUGGAAGAGCUUUCAAACUUAUACAAAGCAGAUAUACUUCUAUGUGAAUCGGGAGUAGAUCAUCUGGCUAUCAAUUUCAGCAGGGAGCUGGCUGACUAUAUCAUUUGGUUUGCUUAAUUGCAUAACUGUUAUUAACUGUUAUCUGAACUAUUUGUUGUAACUGCUAUCUAUACUUGUGCUUUUCUUGUCUGUUUUGCCUGUGUUUACUCUGGUGUGGUACUUUUGUUGAUUGAGUAUUGGUGCUGAAUUGAUAUUAGUGUUAAUUGAUUUCGUGAUUGAUUUUUGAAUCUUUUUCUUUCUUGAUUUAAAAUUUUAAGUUUGGUGUCCCGUUGGUAAUCUUUUCAUUUAGUUUAAUUUUCUUGUUUAUCUUCUUUAUCUUAUCUUUUUCUUUGAUUUUCAAAAUUUUGUUAUCUUAUCUUUAUUUUAAAAUUCAAAUUUUAAAAGUUUAGUAGUUUGUUUGUCUUCAUUUCUUUCAAAUUUGAAUUUUUUAAUUUUCAAAUCUUAUCUUAUCUUGUUUACCUCUUUCGACCUUAUCUUUUUAAUCCUAAAAUUUCAAAAUUUCCUUUUGACUUUUCCUUUUUAAGGUUCAAAAUUUUUUAAAAUCAAAUCUUCAUAUCUUGUUUGUUAAUUGAUUGUUUUAGCUUCUUUCGAAAAUUUUUAACCUCUUUCUCUCUCAUCUUUUUCGAAAAAUUUUAAACUAUUUCCCCUCUUUAUUUUUGAAAACUCCUUUUUAAAUAAAAGACACCUUUAUUUUCUUUUCUCUUUAUCUGAGUUUCUCACAAGGAGCUCUCUAUAUUCUGACAUAGAGACUCCCUUGUUUUCUCCUUUCUGGUUUCUUUUUUUUUGUUUAUGAGCAGGAAUAGGGAUAGAGAAGCUCUUCUUGAUCCUGAUCCUGAACCUGAGAGAUUCUUAAGAAGGUGUCUACAACAAGCUUAAGCCAGUAGAACCAGAGGGAAUCUUGCAGAUGCUCUUAAACAAGAAGCUUAAGAUACAACUAUGACAGCCAAUCCAGACGCUGGAGGAGACGCAAGAAAGGUCCUUGGAUCUUAACUACACCCACAUUUGAUUUCUAUGGGUGCAGCAUCUCCAAAGCUACCAUAGGUGCAAACAAGUUUGAGCUUAAGCCUCAACUGGUCACUCUAGUAAAACAGAAUUACCAGUUUCAUGGACUCCCGCAGGAGGACCCCUACAAAUUCAUCUCUGAUUUCCUACAUAUUUGUGACACUGUCAAGACUAAUAGAGUAAAUCCAUAGGUUUACAAGCUCAUGCUCUCCCCUUUACUGUAAAGGACAGAGCAAGGCUAUCGUUGGAUUCUCAACCUAAGGAGAGACUGGAAACUUGGGAGAAGGUGGUCAAUGGAUUUUUGACCAAGUUCUUUCCACAUCAGAAGCUAAGAAAGCUUAGGGUGGAAGUCUAGACUUUCAGACAGAAAAAUGGAGAGUCCCACUAUGAAGUUUGGGAAAGGUACAAAUAGUUGAUCAGAAGAUGCCCUCUUAACAUGAUCUCAAAGUGGACCAUGUUAGAGAUCUUCGAUGAUGGCCUAUCUAAGAUGUAUAAUAUAUCACCAGACCACUCUGUUGGUGGUUCCCUUUACGUGAAGAAGAUUCUUGAUGAGGCGCAGGAGCUCAUUGAUAUGGUUGCCAACAACCAAUACAUGUACACUUCCGAGAGAAACCUUGUUAACAAUGGGAUGGCUCAGAAUAGGGGAGUCAUGGAGGUGGACACUCUGGAUUCCAUUUUAGCUUAGAACAAGCUCAUGUCCCAGCAGAUCAAUAUGAUCUCUCAAUACUUGAGUGGGAUAAAGUGCUCAGCUGCUUAUUCCCCAGAAGAAGCCUAUGAGGCGGACGCUGGUGACACUGCAUGGACCACCAUAGAGGAGGUGAACUACUUGGGAAACACCUCUAGAAACUCCAACAACAAUCCCUAUGUGAAUACUUUCAAUCAGGGAUGGAGAAAUCAUCCCAACUUUGGGUGGAGAGAUCAGUAGAGGCCUCAACAAGGCUUCAACAGCUAUCAGGGAGGAACGAACCAGAACCGGUUCAACAACAGACCGUUCCAACCCUCUCAGCAGUAGAUGGAGACUUCCGCACAGAGCCUCUCUGACCUGGCUACUAUAGUCUAUAACCUCUUCAAGACCGCUCACAGUUUCAUGGUAGAUACUUGGUCUUCCAUUCGAAAUUUGGAGAUACAGGUAGGUCAGCUGAAUAAGAGAAUCCCAGAGACCUCCUCCAACACUCUUCCAAGGAACACUGAAGUAAACCCAAGCGAAGAGUGCAAGGCUCCCACUAUGGAAGCUAAGGUCGAAUCUAAAGAGGAACCAGCUAUGGAGGAACUGAAGGAGAUCAAGGCUCAGGAGGAGACUAGAAGUGUCACCAUGCACGUCCCUAUGAAGAUGGAGGAGCUUGAAGAACAACCCUCUCCAGACGUGUAAGAGAAACCUAAGGAAGAGCAACUUUAUCUGUUCUUGGCAAUCCUCAGGAAGCUGUAAGUCAAUAUCUCUUUUGCACAGUCAUUGGAAUAGAAUCCCUCUUAUAUGGCCUGUCUGAAUAAUGUUAUCUCUGAGAAGACGACCUCGAAGGGAGAGGAGAUGGUGAUACUGACCAAGAAAUACAGUGCCUUGGUCCAGAAGAAGCUACCUCCGAAGAUGCCAGACCCUGGAAGCUUCCUUAUUCCUUGCACUAUAGGGACCAUCACAUUUGAGAGGGCAUUAUGUGACAUUGGCUCUUGCAUUAACGUUAUGCCUCUCUUAGUAAUAAGGAAGCUGGGACUCCAACAGGUGCAGCCCACCAGAAUCUCACUGAAGAUGGCAGACAAGUCCCUUAAACGGGCAUAUGGUAUGGUGGAAAACGUCCUCAUAAAGAUUGAAGACCUUUACCUCCCUGUAGACUUCGUGAUACUAGACACUGGGGAGGACAGAGACAACUCCAUCAUCCUUGGAAGGCAUUUCCUAUCUACUGCCAAGGCCUUAAUUAACGUGGAAAAAGGAGAGAUGAUCUUGAGGCUAUGGGAGGAUCAUAUACUAUUUAAGAUCCCCAACCCCCACUCUCCAACAGAUAGAGAAGGUACCAUUGUGCAACACUUAGUAUUUUAGCCCUCUCUCUCAGUACAGAGUCUUACAGAGCCCCCUGACAUCAGACCUAAGUUUGGUGUUGGGAAUCCACCAUCAGCUACUGAGGAAGGAGGUACCAGGAAGAAAGUACCCAAGGGCUGGAUGAACAAGAAGAUUCCAACCGAAGACUUCUCACUUGGCAUGCAGGUUGUCUUCACUAGAAGUCUAGUCAUUCUACACACAAUGAACUGGAUCCUGUCUCUGGAGUAUGUUGAGUUGAUCCAUGAGAGCACAGGACGGAAGUUCACCAUGAGGGGCGAGGAUCUAACCCCCUAUCAACCUCCAUAAAGGAGUUGUCCAUCAAACUAGUAAUGGCAAAGAAGUGCUUGUUGGGAGGCAACCCAAUCAUACGUAGAGUAUUUUCUUUCCUUUGUUUAAUUUAGUUUAAUUUUAUAUAAUUUUAUUUUCUACUCAUUUCCAUAAUUUUCCCUUGUUUUUUAGCAUUUGUGAUCAUGUAUAGCACGUAGAACAGGAAUAGCACGCUAAUGAAUCCAUAUUUGAUGAUAAAUUUUUGAUUGAUUUGAGUGGAUUUCAUCAUAUAAACCCACAUUUAUUCAUCCAAAUAGUAUACUUUUGUGUUCUAUCCCUAAGUUGAGCUUAAUUGUGAAAACAUGCUAAUUUGAGCUUAAUUUAAUCAAUUUUAUCCCACUUUCAUCCCAUUCGAUGCCUUGAUGGUUUUGAUGAGUGAUUUCAGGUGUAAUAAGUUGGAAUGGCUUGAUAAGAGUAGGGGAGAAGCAUGCAAUAGGGAGAAAACAUGAAGAAAUCAAAGGAGGAGCACACAGCCAUGUGUGUAUGCACAACAUCCUGUGCGUACACACAAGAGGAAAAUUUAACACGCGUGCAUAUGUACACAUCUGUGGAUACGCACGAAUCAAUGCACGUGACUCACUUAAAGAAAAAUGCUGGGUGCAAUUUCUGGGCCUCCAAAGUCCAGUUUUGGACUUUUUGAAGCUGAUUGAGUGCUAUAUCAAAGGGGGCAUCAUUCCAUAUCAAGUGGAGAGCAAUUAGGGCUAGUUUAGAAACAUGCUUUAGGUUAUAUUCUAAAGAGAGAAGCUCUCUAUUCUCUCUAGAAUUAGGGUAGAAUUCUCUUAGAUCAUGUUUUAUUUCUUGCUUUGUUGUAGUUCCUUUUACUUUUCCUUGUUCUAUUGCUUUGAUUCUUCUAUUUCUCCUUUUUAUUUCUUGUAUCUGGUUAUGUUAUUGUUGAUGCACAAUUAUU